rnacentral:misc_RNA from 1 species
CCGAGUUAUACAACUCCCAACCCCUGUGAACAUACCUAUCGUUGCUUCGGCGGGAUGCCCAGUGACGCAAGCUGUACCACGGGCCGCCCCGCCAGGAGGACCCCUAACUCUGUUUUAUAUGUAUUUUCUGAGUAAACAAGCAAAUAAAUUA